UCUUGGUCAUUUAGAGGAAGUAAAAGUCGUAACAAGGUCUCCGUUGGUGAACCAGCGGAGGGAUCAUUGCUGGAACGCGCUUCGGCGCACCCAGAAACCCUUUGUGAACUUAUACCUAUCUGUUGCCUCGGCGCAGGCCGGCUUCUUCACUGAAGCCCCCUGGAGACAGGGAGCAGCCCGCCGGCGGCCAACUAAACUCUUGUUUCUAUAGUGAAUCUCUGAGUAAAAAACAUAAAUGAAUCAAAACUUUCAACAACGGAUCUCUUGGUUCUGGCAUCGAUGAAGAACGCAGCGAAAUGCGAUAAGUAAUGUGAAUUGCAGAAUUCAGUGAAUCAUCGAAUCUUUGAACGCACAUUGCGCCCUCUGGUAUUCCGGAGGGCAUGCCUGUUCGAGCGUCAUUUCAACCCUCAAGCCUGGCUUGGUGAUGGGGCACUGCCUGUAAAAGGGCAGGCCCUGAAAUCUAGUGGCGAGCUCGCCAGGACCCCGAGCGUAGUAGUUAUAUCUCGCUUUGGAAGGCCCUGGCGGUGCCCUGCCGUUAAACCCCCAACUUCUGAAAAUUUGACCUCGGAUCAGGUAGGAAUACCCGCUGAACUUAAGCAUAUCAAUAAGCGGAGGAA
rnacentral:rRNA from 1 species